UGAUGAAAUAAUGUAACCCUACCGACUGUACCCCAAACCCUUUUUUUUUUCUGUAUCCCCUUGUUUUUUGUUCAUUUUCCUUUACUGGAAAUAAUUUGGAAAAUAAAGAAAAAUGUAAAUUGCAAAAAAAAAAAGUUGUCAAAAGAACCAAACAAUAACAAAAUAUAUCAGCAAAAUCACCUUCCCUCUCACUAGUCAGUGACAGUACAAAGUAUAGAAACCUAAACUGGACCAUAUUGGCCUUUUUCUAUUCUUCUCUCGCAUUUUUCUAUAUUCAUUUGGUUUUAUUGUGAUUAUUUGCUAUCUGCAUAUUUCUUUGGUUUCCCAUCUUGCUCUCUACUAUUUUCAGCCUAUGGUUCCCCACUGUUUUUCUUUCACCUUCCCAUUCGACUCCCUUUGUUGAUUUGCCUUUUCGAUCUGUCUGUCCUGGAGAUUUUAGCCACAUAGCAACUUUUUUUUCCAGUUUCCCCUGUCUCCUCUUGGAUCCAUGCUGGUAUUCUCCACCUGUAUUGUUAGCAUGGCUUUGUAGGCUGCCUCUGGGUGCCAAUGUUGUUUUUGUUUAGUUUUUCUGUGGCUUUAUGCAACCAGUACAUGUGCAGUGACAUAGUUUGAAUGCAGCGGCAUUGUUCGUAGUUUAGUGCUGUUCACUUGGUUGCUGGGCAGAUUACUGCUUUCUCUCUUGCCCUGUUUAUUCCUUCCCACCCCUUUUGCUGGUUAAGUUUCUUACUCCUGCCCAGUGGCGGAAUUACCGCGGUUGCAGCAGCGACCGGGCCCGUCACUCAACCGCGGGGCCCGCCGGCUAAGUAAUGCGGCCUCGGCCCGUGCGGUAUAACCACUGGGGCCGCAUUGAAGGGGUCCAUCGGGUGGCCCAUGCUGUUAGGGCCACCCAAUGCUAUGUAUUUCCAGGGGGCAAUUUUCACACUGUUACCCCGUGGUUUCUAGUUACGCCUCUGCUCUUCCCCAUCCUGUUUCCUGCUCAACGCUCUUGCUGAGGAAUGUAGCGUACUGCCUUUAUCUAUCAUUUUUCACAAGGUAGAUACAAUCCUACUGCUAUCCUGCUCAGUACUGUUUCAUAUGCCUUGGUACUAUCCUAGUUAUUUUGGUGCUCUGUAUUUUUUGUAAUUUGUUGCUAUUGUGCACAUUUGGUCUUUCCCUUUAUUUGGUAAUCCAUGGGUGUAAUUGGGAACUGCUGGACCUGAGUGCAAGAAUCAAAAAAGAUUGUAUCUGCUUGCUUCCCCAGCUAUGCAUGUGAGUAGGAUGUGCUGCAGGUGCUGAGUGUGAUUGUAUGUGGUGGUUGCCUGGGUGUGACUCUGGUGUUGCUCCUCCUUACUUCCCUAAGCAAUACACAUGUGUGGCAUGUGUGUGAUCGUUGUGUGUAAUUGGUUGUUG